ensembl:snoRNA
UUAGGCAAGUGGGGAGGCCAGGAUUCAGCCCUGGCCAGAGCCUGAUCUGUAACUGAUGUACCACUUCCUUUAUGACUUCUUUCUGUGCCUUAG